AUUGAACGCUGGCGGCAGGCCUAACACAUGCAAGUCGGACGGUAGCACAGAGAGCUUGCUCUCGGGUGUCGAGUGGCGGACGGGUGAGUAAUGUCUGGGGAUCUGCCCGAUAGAGGGGGAUAACCACUGGAAACGGUGGCUAAUACCGCAUAACGUCGCAAGACCAAAGAGGGGGACCUUCGGGCCUCUCACUAUCGGAUGAACCCAGAUGGGAUUAGCUAGUAGGCGGGGUAACGGCCCACCUAAGCGACGAUCCCUAGCUGGUCUGAGAGGAUGACCAGCCAAACUGGAACGGAGAAACGGUCAAGACUACUACGGGGAGCAGCAGCGGGGAAUAUUGCACAAUGGGCGCAAGCCUGAUGCAGCCAUGCCGGGUGUAUGAAGAAGGCCUUCGGGUUGUAAAGUACUUUCAGCGGGGAGGAAGGCGAUGUGGUUAAUAACCGCGUCGAUUGACGUUACCCGCAGAAGAAGCACCGGCUAACUCCGUGCCAGCCGCCGCGGUAA
rnacentral:rRNA from 1 species